CGUCAGCUGCAGCCUGCAGGUCGAGAUUUCCGUAGGUGAACCUGCGGAAGGAUCAUUA
rnacentral:rRNA from 1 species